rnacentral:rRNA from 1 species
CCCUAUGGGGUGCAGCAGGCCUCUUUUCAGGUACCGAUGAGGGGAGGUGUGGAUGCUAUCGGGAAUCUUUAGCAGUCGCCCUCUUUUUUUACAUUGUCGCACAAAGUCCACAUCCUCCAUGAGGAAAGGAUUUCGGAAUCCCCCUGCCUCCCAAAAGACAGUGCGUCGACAGAAAAGUCCCUGGUCUCCGUACGGCAGCCGAAACAGGUACGUCCGAAGGUUCGCCCACCUGGAAACCAAGUCCAGGGCAGGUGUAGAAGGAGAGAACGCGAGCUGAAAACAGCCGAUGCUCUUGGCGGAGUCUUGCGCUAUCUUGCGCACCUGAUAGGCGAAUUGGCGGGGGGGC